GCCAGGGGAUGGGAGCGGCCGGGUCCGGCCCCGCGCCGCGCUGAGGGCGCUGAGGGGGCUGGGCUCUCCCGCCUUCCCGGGCCGCAGGUGGCCCCGCAGCCACGCCCUGGAGCCGCCGCGGUGCGCAAAUGGCGGAAGCGGCGGUUCGGGCCGUGCGGGCCGCAGUCAGCGCUGCGGGGAAAAUGCGGUGUUUUGUGUGGUGUCCUUUUUGUAGCGAGUACCGAUGCGGAAGGCCGGGCCGCAGCGCCGCUUGCCUCCCCCCGCUCCCGCCCCGCUCCCCGGCGCGUGGCGCCGCCGCCUUUGUCCCUCCCGGGCACGGAGACCGUCAGGGGGGGCAGCCGCAGGCCGCGCCCUCCCCCGUGCUGCAGGAAAAGCACAAUAAAACAUGUAUAAAUAUACACGUAUAAACGCCUGCUUGCGCCGCUCGGUGUCCCUCAUUGCAGAAUCAGUCCCAGAUUCUGCCAUGAGCUCAGCGCUGUACAUUAGCUUAGUCAUGCAGGGUUGGAUGGAAGGCCCGUGCCUGCCAAACGCAUCUGCUUUUUGCUGUGGUUUUAAAUAUCAAUAAUGACACUUUUAAUCCACUUGGCUUGGGUGUCCCAGCUAACCCUACCGCCAUAAGCCGCCAUUUACCACUCUGUGGCCAGGGAGUGGCUUGGGGAGGGUUGGGGAGAAAUGGAGAUGGGUGCAGCUAAGCCAUGGUCUCCACAGACAGCACCGAGCUAUGGGACACUGUGGUGAAACAUGAAGGGAAAUGAUACACAAAUUAAUGGGGGGAUAAAAACAAGAACAACAAAUAAAAAGGCUUUGCUACUUCCAGAGGACAGCACACUUUCUCCACUCUAGCUCAUAUCUUUGGGUAUGAGGUAAUGCUAACAAAAAAAAGCAAUUAUAUUAUCUACUCUUUUCCCAUUCCGUGUGCCCAAAUAUUCUCACUCCUGCAUCAUACUUAUUCCACCGGAAUGUUGAAAGGUACAUUUUAUUAUAAAUACUUCUGAAAUCUUUUGAAAUUCCCUACAGUUCGUUCUGUCACUUAUGCCCAGGCCACAUGUAAGAGAGUAAGAGAAAGCUUCAUGCAAAAAAAAAGUAAGUGCUCUUCUUUUCUGCUGGUAAAAGGCCCUCAGGGCUUUCCAGAAUAAAAUCUGGAAGCCAAUAGUAUGAAGCAAGCAGUUGUGCUGCAAAAAUUCUUUGGCACAAGUUGUCAUUGCCCCAAGACUGAAUAGCCUGAGAUUGGCUUAUUCAACUUCCAAGAGAUGUUGUCUUAAUGUCAGAUGUUAAAAAAGGCAUUCAGGGUUAAAAAACAAAACAAAACAAAACCAGGCAAAAAUAAAUGAAAAAAAAAAUCCAUUCGCUGCUGUCCUCAGGAGUCAAAACAGGACACAUAAAAAAAAACAACCAAUAGCAUAAUUUCAGAACUGCGUGAGCUGGUUGGGUGUCCAUAUUUGCAGUGCAGAGUACGGUUCUGGUCAUUAAUGAUAACAAGAAUUGGCUUAAGCCAAAGCAAUAUGCAUCCAAAUUUGCCUGAUAAAAUUUGUUUUUCUGAAAGCAUGCAUGUGGUAGCAGUUAAAGGGACGGGGUUGUUUACAAAUUAAUACUGAAGCACAUUGCUACACUUAGGUGAAAAUAGGGGUAGAAGAGAGCUGUUUCUAGGUUGCGGGCCAUAAUAGUUUGGGGCACAUCAUCCGAGUUGGAGACAAUGAAGUUCUGAGCCUAAGUUUUCACUUAAUGUAAAUUAGAAGUAACUACUAAAUUAAAUUAAUUAUUUACUGAAAUAUUAAAAAGGAGAAUCUUAUAUCUACUCAGGUAUGACAACUCAGAGUCCUCUGAUAAUAGCAACUUACAGCCUUUUCCAAAAGACUUUAAAUUUGUGUCACUAGCAAUUUUAAAAUAAGGAUUGUCCGUGCUCUAGUUCGUAAAUAAAUAAAUUCAUGGAAGUCCUAUUGUCUGUGAAACUGAAAGUCAGAACAGAGUUGUCAUUCUCAGACCCUUGUGACAUGAGAAUGUUACAUGUUCAUUUUAGCCAAAAAUAGGAAAGUUGUUGCUGGUUCCAGUGUCCCAGGCAAGAUUGAGAUGACUAUGGAGUCAACAACGUAAUCCCUCAGAACAGUGAUCUUUUAAACUAAGAUUAUAUUUGGGUAUGGAAGGAUACACAAAUUGAUAGCCCUCUUAACUUAUUAGUAGGCUGAUAAUUUGAUAAUUUAAUUUUGCCUUUCUUUUUUCGUUUUAACUAAUCAGUUAUUCCAGUGCAAAUUAAGUUUAGUGUCUUUGCUGUUACCAAAGCAAGGAGUACUGUUGUGUUUUACUGGACAUAUUCUUUAUCCUUCAGUAAAGUAAAACCCCUGAAACAUAAGUUCUUAGGAGAUUUUGUGAAAAAAAGUUGGGCAAAAACAAAGGUCAAAUAAAUUCACACUUUUACCUUCAUUUACAAACCCAGAGUGUACGUGGGUUUUACAUUUUAUUCAAUGAGGCAAAAAUGCUGAUACUUAGCAGCCUGUGUCACAAAAAUAUAAUCAUAAAAAAGUCUAGGUCCACCUUUAAGUGGGUAAAAGCCACUUUGAUUAGUUGUUCAUUCCGAAAUUUUGGCAGAAGGCUGAUACCUACAAGAGACAUCCAUUCAGAUUUCCAAACUUAGCAGAAGCUUAGACAACUGGCAGCACUCAGAUCCUCUGUAAAUUGCCAUGCAUCCCCCAUCCCCAGUGGAGACAGGCAAUACAGAUGAAUACUUGAAAGAUAUUAUGAGAUAAGAUCAUACUGGCCUCUUACAUUUUAUCAAAUGGUAAAAAGACAUUACAACUCAGCAGUAGGCUUGGAAGAAGUUCUUUUGAAAAGUAAUAUGCUUCAAGUGUGUGGAGUUUACUUGUUUACAUGUAGAUUUUCUUUGUUCCUCAUAAUGUGCAGCCUUUUACAAAUGCAUUCCUGACCUUUACAAAUGAAUGAAUAGCUGUCUGGAGGUUAGCAUGUGCCAUGCCCAGAUACAUCUGCAAGAACUGUAAGCAGACACCGCUUCUGAAAAUAGGAUCCACAAAAGGUGUUGCUAAGUGAGUGUAUGUAAAAACAUUUUUGUGUAGUGCAGCUUUAAACUCUCUGACUGGUAUAGACAUCAGAGAAAGGAGAAAUAGUAAGUGUUCCUAUUUUUGUAAAUAAGCAUUCAUACUUAGACUUAUCUUGAAAGGAAGAGUCUUUGGAGCUGGUUUAUUUUGUGUGUAUUGCGGCUUACAGCAUUCACAUUUAUCUUUCUGUGUCUAGACACAGUGAACUUAAAAUGUUCCACAGAUAAAGGGUUAAAAAUUCCCUCUGUUUAGUAGGAUAAAGCAUGUAAAUAAUUCACAGAAUGCAGUAGGCAUUUACCGCUACACUCUGCCUCCUGUUACUGCACUGUCACCAAAGUAAUUAAAUUACAUAGGGAAGACAUCAAGAACCUACGCUGAAAGAAAAUCAUUUUUGACUACACUCUGUAUUUCUGCUGAAGUAACGAUGAGUAAACAUGACUCAGGUUUCAUUUGUUCAAAAUCUACAAGAUAAUAUGCAUGCUCAGCAGAAGAAAAAUAUACAUCUAGGCAGCAAACCACUAUGUGAAAAGAAAUUUUACACUGAAUUAUGACAUGUGAACAUCAUUUUUUUUUUUUUCACACUGGAUGAACCUCUGGCUUACCAGUGCUUGGCUGGUGUUCCUAUUUUUUCAGUAGCAGCAUGGGAAAGUAAGCAAAAUAGAACUAAAAGUUUGAUGUCGUUCUAAAAGCAAAGAGAAACAGUAGACAACACCUGCUGUUGUGCACAAUGUUCAUUCUGGCACAAUGCAAAGAAAAUGCAGAAUCACUUCACUGAAAUUUUAAUGAACUCAAAUGAGAACACUGCUGCUUAAUGGACUUUGUGCAAUGGUCUGAAGCUCAUCCAUUCACAGAACAACUUUUCACGGGGUUGGCUUGGUUUGCUAAUCCCAUUAUCACUUUGAUUCUACCACUUUCAAAUGCUAGUAUGAAUGCAGCUGAUCAAAAAUAGCCUAGCUUGUGCUUGACUUUGUUCCAAGCCAUGAAGUGAAGUGCACUGUGCUGCCAGAGAGGUACCACUGCAUUUGUGUGAGGUCACAGUGAAGUAAUGGUGUGUCAUAGUAGGAGCUUCAGGUAUCCAUGCCUAGAAGUUCUGAUCUCCAAGUGUUAAGUGGUUUAUCCUUCCUAUCACGGCAGGUACCCACACGAACACAAAUGAAUCAUUUUUGUCUUCUGAAUACUUUCAAAAGAAACCAGGAAAGGAAAAUACCAUUUUUACAUUACUCCUGGUAGUUUUGCUUGUUUAACCUCAGACAAGUAUGCUACGCUACCCUUGUUUUGACAUGACAAGACCCACUGCCCUAAGAGCAAAGUGACAACUGAAAUUAUCAAACGCAUGUGAAUCCAGAAGCGUUCUCCAAAUGAAAGCAUAUGUUGCAAAAUCUUCGACAGAAUGGGAAGAAUAAGCAGGGGAGGAAGCAGGAAUCCUUGUGCCACUACAACAGAUGUUGGACAAACAGGGAAGAAAAUGACAUCCUUCCUGCAGAAAGUUUGCAAUCUAGAUAUAAGUAAGUUGUAGAUGUAUCUUUGAGUAUAAUGGAAUGUCCUAUAUAAGUAGCUUGUGAGAAUUCCAUAGACUGAAAUACAUUCUCCUAA